AGUGAACGCUGGCGGUAGGCCUAACACAUGCAAGUCGAACGGCAGCACAGUAAGAGCUUGCUCUUACGGGUGGCGAGUGGCGGACGGGUGAGGAAUACAUCGGAAUCUACUUUUUCGUGGGGGAUAACGUAGGGAAACUUACGCUAAUACCGCAUACGACCUACGGGUGAAAGCAGGGGAUCUUCGGACCCUGCGCGAUUGAAUGAGCCGAUGCCGGAUUAGCUAGUUGGCGGGGUAAAGGCCCACCAAGGCGACGAUCCGUAGCUGGUCUGAGAGGAUGAUCAGCCACACUGGAACUGAGACACGGUCCAGACUCCUACGGGAGGCAGCAGUGGGGAAUAUUGGACAAUGGGCGCAAGCCUGAUCCAGCCAUACCGCGUGGGUGAAGAAGGCCUUCGGGUUGUAAAGCCCUUUUGUUGGGAAAGAAAAGCAGCAGGUUAAUACCCCGCUGUUCUGACGGUACCCAAAGAACAAGCACCGGCUAACUUCGUG
rnacentral:rRNA from 1 species